rnacentral:rRNA from 1 species
AGAGUUUGAUCCUGGCUCAGAGCGAACGCUGGCGGCAGGCCUAACACAUGCAAGUCGAGCGCCGUAGCAAUACGGAGCGGCAGACGGGAGAGUAACACGUGGGAACGUGCCCUUCAGUUCGGAACAACCCAGGGAAACUUGGGCUAAUACCGGAUACGGCUGAGAGGCGAAAGAUUUAUCGCCGGAGGAUUGGCCCGCGU